ACCUCGGAUCAGGUAGGGAUACCCGCUGAACUUAAGCAUAUCAAUAAGCGGAGGAAAAGAAACCAACAGGGAUUACCUCAGUAACGGCGAGUGAAGCGGUAACAGCUCAAAUUUGAAAGCUGGCUCUUUUAGGGUCCGCGUUGUAAUUUGUAGAAGAUGCUUCGGGUGUGGCCCCGGUCUAAGUUCCUUGGAACAGGACGUCAUAGAGGGUGAGAAUCCCGUAUGUGACUGGGUGCUUUCGCUCAUGUGAAGCUCUUUCGACGAGUCGAGUUGUUUGGGAAUGCAGCUCAAAAUGGGUGGUAAAUUUCAUCUAAAGCUAAAUAUUGGCCAGAGACCGAUAGCGCACAAGUAGAGUGAUCGAAAGAUGAAAAGCACUUUGGAAAGAGAGUUAAACAGUACGUGAAAUUGUUGAAAGGGAAGCGCUUGCAACCAGACUUGCGCGCUGAUGAUCAUCCGGGCUUNUGCCCGGUGCACUCGUCUGCGCUCAGGCCAGCAUCGGUUUCGGUGGUGGGAUAAAGGCCUUGGGAAUGUGGCUCCUCUCGGGGAGUGUUAUAGCCCUCGGUGCAAUGCCGCCAACC
rnacentral:rRNA from 1 species